AAAUUGAAGAGUUUGAUCAUGGCUCAGAUUGAACGCUGGCGGCAGGCCUAACACAUGCAAGUCGAACGGUAACAGGAAACAGCUUGCUGUUUCGCUGACGAGUGGCGGACGGGUGAGUAAUGUCUGGGAAACUGCCUGAUGGAGGGGGAUAACUACUGGAAACGGUAGCUAAUACCGCAUAAUGUCGCAAGACUAAAGAGGGGGACCUUCGGGCCUCUUGCCAUCGGAUGUGCCCAGAUGGGAUUAGCUAGUAGGUGGGGUAACGGCUCACCUAGGCGACGAUCCCUAGCUGGUCUGAGAGGAUGACCAGCCACACUGGAACUGAGACACGGUCCAGACUCCUACGGGAGGCAGCAGUGGGGAAUAUUGCACAAUGGGCGCAAGCCUGAUGCAGCCAUGCCGCGUGUAUGAAGAAGGCCUUCGGGUUGUAAAGUACUUUCAGCGGGGAGGAAGGGAGUAAAGUUAAUACCUUUACUCAUUGACGUUACCCGCAGAAGAAGCACCGGCUAACUCCGUGCCAGCAGCCGCGGUAAUACGGAGGGUGCAAGCGUUAAUCGGAAUUACUGGGCGUAAAGCGCACGCAGGCGGUUUGUUAAGUCAGAUGUGAAAUCCCCGGGCUCAACCUGGGAACUGCAUCUGAUACUGGCAAGCUUGAGUCUCGUAGAGGGGG
rnacentral:rRNA from 1 species